rnacentral:snRNA from 1 species
AUUGCUUCUCGGCCUUUUGGCUAAGAUCAAGUGUACUAAUUUUUAGUCAAAUUGAUCAUAGACACUGUAAUUAUAUGUUUUAACUUUAUAAUAUCUUGUGCAGUGUUUGAUGGACUUAAA